CACACGAUCCCUUGUCUGGGAUGCAAAUGUUUGGCCCACAGUGUAUAUGUUUUUUUUUUCUAGUUGUAAGACAGCAGUUCAUUCACAACUAUGGGAGCCGAGGUGGAAAAUAAUGACACUCAGCCAAAAGAAGAAGUUCCGCUUUGAGACUUUGUGGUAAUUUCACAGAUUGGAAGUCUAUGGGUAGUGCAUCUUUUAUAUUUUAUUUAUUUAGUUAGUUUAUUUAUUAUUUUCAGUUUUUUUAUUAUCAUUAUUUUACUUUUCAUCAAACCCAGGAAUAUUUCAGUGCCAACAUCUCUGAAGGAAGCCCGUCGUCAGUGGUUUUGGCGGAUUGACUUUUCCACGAAGUAGUAAUGGCUACUGCAAGGACUGAUUAUGUUGCUCCAUGGUGGACUUACUGGCUGCACAAUUUCCCUCACUUCAAUUUCUUUUUCCAGACGGUCGACAGCACUUUCAAACCGGAGGAGGCGAGCUAUCAGCAGUCUUUGAUAAUUCUAGCAUGUGUUGGUGCAGUUGGUCUUGGGGUGAGCCUGCUGGUUCUGGCAGUAUACGUGGUGUGCUUGUGCUGCUGCCGCAGGGACAUCGAUGAAGACACCAAAAGGCCUGAUACCUGCUGUGUCACCUGGGUUGCCGUCAUCACAGGUCUCAUCAUAUGUUCUGCUGUUGGAGUGGGUUUCUAUGGGAACAGUGAAACCAACGAUGGGGUGUACCAGAUGAACUAUUCACUCUACAAUGCCAAUCGCACACUGGGUAACAUCAACAAUCUGGUUGCAGGCUCACUGGGCAAUGUGGAAACUGCACUCAAACAGCACCUGGAACGCCUGGAUGAGAUCUUUUCUACGAGGCCUGACUACCUUCAAGCUUUACGUUUUAUGCAGCUGAUGGUCAACAAUGUCAUCCGUGAGCUGACUGUUCUUCCAGACAUCAACAAAACCAAUUUCGACUUGGCAGCCAUUGCAGACCAGACAGCCUUCAUUGAGUAUUACAGAUGGCUGAUUUAUUUGCUGCUACUGAUCCUGGAUCUGGUUAUCUGCUUGGCCAUGUGCUUGGGUAUGGCCAAGCAUUCUCAGUAUCUGCUGAUCAUGAUCAUUGGUUUUGUUAUACUAUCUCUGAUUCUGAGCUGGGCCUCACUGGGAGUUGACACUGCUACAGCUGUGGGUAUAAGUGACUUUUGUGUGUCUCCAGACAAGUUUAUUGUCAACCAUACCAAGGAUUUUCUAAGUGCAGAUGUUGCACACUAUUAUUUGUUUUGCAGUCCGAAUCUACCAAACCCGUUUCAACAGUCUUUGACAACUUGCCAGCGCUCCCUGACUACCAUGCAAAUCCAGAUUCAAGGCUUGCUGCAGUUCUCUGUGCGGGUCUUUCCCACUGCUGAGAGAGACCUUUUGGGAAUCCAACGACUAUUAAACUCAACAGAGUUCAGUCUACACAAGCUAACAGCCUUGCUGGACUGCCGUGGGCUACAUAAGGACUAUCUUGAUACCCUCAUGGGUGUGUGCUAUGAUGGGGUGGAAGGGCUCCUCUACCUCUCUUUGUUUUCUCUUCUGGCUGCCUGCGCACUCUCUGCCAUGCUGUGUGUAAUUUUCCGAGUGUGGACACUAAUGGGCAGCAGGGAAAAAGAGUACGAUGACAUAGAUGAGGAGGAUCCAUUCAACCCCCAAGCUCGUCGGAUAUCCUAUAACCCCCGAAGGUCCAACACGCACAGUUUCUGUAGCUAUACCACAAGCCUUGGCAGCCAGGCCAGCCUUCAUCCACCUCCUCAGUCAACUUCUAGUGUAAUGUCACCCCCUGAAUACAUGAAUCAGUCCAUGCUGUUUGGAGGAACCCCUCGGUAUGAGAAUGUACCACUGAUAGGGAGAGGAUCCCCGCCUCCCUCGGUGCGUUGGCCCUACGGGGCUCUAGUGUCCCUAGUUUAAUGGCAGUGAUGGCAUAGUUGGCCUCAGCCCCACUACAGUACUAACAAGAAGCAUGUGCCAGAAAUGUAGCAAUGUUGAUACACUGCACAAAACCUCAACAGUUAAUGAAGGGAGUUAUGUUGCUCUGUAAAUGAUGGAAGACUGACAUCUACUGGCUGUUGACUGAAGUGUGUUCAUUUUUAGUGCAUUACUAAUCUAUAACUACAGUCAUAUAUCCUUUUUACAUUUGGCGGUUUUCACUGGACUGUAUUUCUGGUUCUCAAAAAGGAAUAGUUUAGGUCAGAUUAGAGAUCUAAAGAUGAAACAAGCAAUACUGCCAGCUCAAUCUCACAUCAUGUAUCUAUUUUUAAAGGAGGGGCCUCAUAGUCUAGAAGUGCAUGGUGUGCAUCCAAUGCUGGGGCUAAAUGAUAAAUAAUAGAUAGAACACUUGUAAAUCCACAGUUAAAGUCUCUGUUGGUUGGUUUUCUUUUAUAUUAAGUUUUCUGCUUGUGUGGCUGACUCAGUGCUUCAACAGCUUUCACAGUGUGCCAAAGACUUGAAACACCAUUUGAGGUGUGAGAGCGUGAACGUGGACUAUGCUCAAACCUAUUCUUUCCUCUAUAAAUCACAUUUUCAGCAUGCAUCAAGAUGUGUUAUUUGUUCCUGUUACUUAAAUGUUUGCUAUUUUGGAAAACAUAUUUGCAGUACGUUUGUUUUUCUGUUGUUAUUUAAUUUAUUUAAUUUUCUGUGACGUUUCUGUGAUUUUCUUAUCCUUUAUAUAAUCAGUUUCUCAAUAAGGCAUCUAAAUAUUGAAUAUUAACCAAUGUUUUCUACCCACCUUUUUAAAAUGUCCAUUCUUUGACUUAUUGUUUCACUCUUGUCUGACUUAAUUUGCUUGAUUUUUGUAUGUUUUCCCCCCUGCAAACCUUUCUAAUGAUGGUUGCUAUAUGCAAAAUGUUUAUAACUUGUAUCUCAAAGCUCAGGGACCCUUUUAAAGCUCCAUAGUACCUCAGCUUCCUGGCACUGUUUAACCCACAGAGUGUUGCAUUAUUCACCCAGCAUGAGAGCUACCUAUCUAUCCAUGACUGAUGCCCAGAUUAGACACUUUGGGAC